UUGCAAGAAGGUGCUGUACCUCCCCUUGUUGCCUUGUCUCAAUCUGGCACCCCAAGAGCAAAAGAAAAGGCGCAGCAACUUCUCAGUCACUUCCGAAAUCAGAGAGGAGCCAUGGGAAAGGGCAAAUAAUUCAGACAUUUCAUCUACCUUUUUCGUAUAUUUGGUAUUCGUUGUAGUGUAAGUUGUUCUCCUCUAGUAUUUUUCGCGGAUUUUUUUCUUCUUUUGGUUUCUUGUAGCAUAUAAUUUUUUUUUCCCUUCAUACCACGAGAGGAGAGAAACAAUUUUAAUGUGCUCAGUAGGAUUUGAUUUCGCGAAAGAACAUAGUUUGCCUUAGAUUGAGAGUGAAUUCACUUUUUUCUUUCGUUGAUUUUAACUUAAGCUGCCAUUGUUUGUCGCAUAGUAUUGUAUAUUUAUUGUACAUAUAUAGAUUAUAGACUGGUGCAUUCAAACUCUAAAAUUGUAUUAUGAUACAUAUUUUUCUGUUGUGCAAAA